rnacentral:rRNA from 1 species
AAGUCGUAACAAGGUUUCCGUAGGUGAACCUGCGGAAGGAUCAUUAAUGAAUUUAACACAAUUCAUCCCAUGUUAAACUGUCUAUUACAUCUAUAAAUCAAAAACCAAAUUUAUAAUUAUACAACUUUUAACGGUGGAUCUCUUGGUUCCUGCAACGAUGAAGAACGCAGCGAAAUGCGAUAAGUAAUGCGAAUCGCAACAGCUCGCGAGUCAUCUAAUCUUUGAACGCACCCUGCACUUUACGCAAGUAGAGUAUGUCUGUUUGAGUAUCAGUACACCUCUCAUUCUGUAGAAUGGACUUGAGCAUCAGCACUUUGUUGUUGCUUUAAAUGAAGUGUAAUUAUGACGCUGCUAAUGUUGCGUCAUUUAAAAACAAAAAUUGAUCUCAAAUCAGACAAGACUACCCGCUGAACUUA